UCAGCAUCUCAGCCUUUUGGCUAAGAUCAAGAAUUUCUGACACCAAAAGAAGGGUGCCAGGGCUGGCUCUGGCUCAGUAUUGCAAUCAGCAUUUUUGGGGAGGGUAUUGGAGCUUGCUCUGGCCUCUCUGAGUGCUGGCCUGGUAUUGAAGGACCUCCGGGCCCAGUGGUCAUUCC
rnacentral:snRNA from 1 species